AGCAACCAACCCCUCAUUCCCACCCCCACCACCUCUUGGUCCUCUUUUCUGAAAGAUUCUCUACCUCUUUUUCUUUCUUUCUCUCUUUCCCAUUUGCAGGCAGCAGUAGUCCUCUGCAAUCAACAGCGACAUCAUCAAUUAGGUACGAACUACGAAAAUGGAUAACGAGGUAGUUCAGAGAGUAUUUGAAGGUGGAGGUCGUGAUUAUCGCCAUCACCAACAACAGCAGCAGCAGCAACAAUCUUCUACUUCUUCUUCGUCGAUUCUCCAAUCCCUUCCGCUCCAUGUGACGUUUGAUCAUGGAUAUUAUUUGUUAGUAAAAUCUAUUCAAGAGCUUCGAGAAAAAAAAGAUGGUACAGUGAUAGUUGGCAUUGGUGGUCCUAGUGGCUCUGGUAAAACUAGUUUAGCAGAGAAGGUAGCAUCUGUAAUUGGCUGUGCUCGUGUAUCGAUGGAGAACUAUCGUAAAGGAGCUGAUGAAGUGAAUGAUCUUAAUUCGAUAGAUUUUGAUGCUUUAGUUCGGAAUCUCGAGGAUCUGUUGAACGGUAAAGAUGCAGUGAUGCCGUUGUUUGAUUUCCAAGAAAAGAAACAUAUUGGUUCAAAAACAAUAAAGAGCUCUUCGACAGGGGUGGUGAUUGUUGACGGUACUUAUGCUCUGCACUCAAAGUUGCGCUCUCUGCUUGAUAUUCGGGUUGCAGUAGUUGGUGGUGUGCAUUUCAGCCUGCUUUCCAAAGUACGAUAUGACAUUGGGGAUUCUUGUUCGUUGGAUUCCCUCAUUGACAGCAUCUUCCCACUGUUCAGAAAGGAUAUUGAGCCGGACCUCCAUCAUGCUCAGAUUAGAAUCAACAACAGCUUUGUUUCAUCUUUUAGGGAGCCUAUCUACAAACUGAAAUGCAAAGAGUCUCCCGAUGGACAUUCUGCUCUCAUUUUCCGUGGAAUUGAAACACAAACAGAUAAUUUUAUCGAGAUGUACCUCAGGCCACCUUCAGCAUCUGAAGAAGCACGAAUCAAUGACUGGAUAAAGGUGCGACAGGCUGGUAUAAAAUAUUACUUGUCACUAGGUGACCAGAGGAUCGUCGACAAAAGUUACAUUAUCAGACCAAAAGCCGAGUUUGAGGUUGGAAGGAUGACUUUAGGUGGACUUCUUGCUUUGGGGUACACUGUUGUUGUCAGUUAUAAGCGGGCAUCUACAUCGUUUAAUAAUGGGAAAGUGUCAAUAUCACUUGAAACUAUUGACACUCUUGGGAAGACAUUCUUGGUGUUGAGGGGCACAGAUAGGAGGGUUCUUGGAACAGAAGUCUCCAGGAUGUGUAUUGAGGGACCAUGGAUCACAAAGUCGUAUCUGGAAAUGAGUCUUGAAAGCAGAGGUGUGCCUCGUCUAAAUACACCGCCACCUUUAUCUAGUACAUCCUUGACUCAAGUGCAAGAGAAGGCCCUCCAAGCCCCAAAGCCAAUCCGUGUUACUUCAAACAUUGUUAACAGUCUUGAGGACCUAACUCAGCCAUGGACACGGUCCCCAACAAAGUCUCAAAUGGAGCCUGUAUUAGCAACUUGGCGCUUCACUUCCUCGGUCGGUGGACAUACUGACAAUUCUUCUUUCAGGGGUACCAUGCAGCUUGCUCCAAUGCCUGAUUCAUACGACUUGGAUAGAGGGUUGCUUCUAGCUGUUCAAGCAAUCCAGGCUGUGCUGGAGAAUAAGGGGCUCCCAGUUAUUGUUGGCAUUGGGGGUCCAAGUGGUUCGGGCAAAACUAGUUUAGCUCAUAAAAUGGCAAACAUAGUUGGUUGUGAAGUCAUUUCACUUGAAAGCUAUUAUAAAUCUGAACAAGUGAAGGACUUUAAGUUUGAUAACUUUAGUUCUAUUGAUCAGCAUUUACUUUCAAAGAACAUUGAUAACAUAAGGAACCGUCGACGGACAAAGGUGCCUAUAUUUGAUCUAGAGAACUGUACUCGCAAUGGUUUCAAGGAACUUCAAGUUUCCGAGGAUUGUGGAGUGAUAAUUUUUGAAGGGGUUUAUGCCUUGCACCCGGAUAUUCGUAAAUCACUCGACUUGUGGAUAGCUGUUGUUGGAGGUGUGCAUUCGCAUCUAAUUGCCAGAGUACAGAGAGACAAGAACAGGACUGGGUGUUAUAUGUCACAGGAUGAAAUUAUGACAACAGUAUUUCCAAUGUUUCAGCAGUACAUUGAACCCCACCUUGUUCAUGCACAUCUGAAAAUUCGAAAUGACUUUGAUCCUGUUCUUUCUCCUGAGAGUUCUCUUUUUGUUCUGAAAAGCAAUAAACAGGUUGGAUAUCAGGACAUUCUGAAACUACUUGAUCGUGCAAAGUUUUGCAGUUCUGUUCAGAAUUUCACUGAUAUAUACUUGCGGCUUCCUGGACCACCUAAUAAUGGGAGCCUCACAGAAAGUGAGUGCAUAAGAGUUAGAUUAUGUGAAGGCAGAUUUGCUUUACUGAUACGAGAGCCUAUACGGGAAGGCGACUUUAUCAUACAACCAAAAGUGGAUUUCGAUAUCAGCAUUACCACAGUUUCUGGCCUUCUUAAUCUUGGGUAUCAAGCAGUAGCUUACAUUGAAGCAUCCGCAUUGAUCUAUCAAGAUGGAAAGAUUCUGAUCGAGGUUGAUCAUCUCCAAGAUAUCCCGAGCCCAUAUUUACAGAUUAAAGGAACAAACAGGGAAGUAGUAGCCACUGCUGGUUCAGCACUUGAUCUAGACGGUUCAUAUACCACUAAGAGUUAUCUUCAAAUUAUUCUGGAAAGUUUGCCAGCAUUUGAAAGAAGCUCGUCCGGAAUCCAUCGCCAUCAAGCUACACGACUUCAGGAACUUGUUGAAUUCAUACAAAGUCAGUUCUUAUAUGGGUGGAUUACAGGGGAACAAUUCAGUUGGAGAAUCCUCACCAAGCAGGGAUAGUUUACCAAUGGAAAGCAUAAUCGAAGACAUGCAGUCACGGAUCAGAAAGCUCGAACGAUGGCAUACAGUCAAUACGGUCCUCUGGACACUUCUAAUGUCUGCUCUUGUUGGGUAUUCGCUCUACCAACGAAAACGUCAGUAACAAUGACCGUACAAGUGAAUUUGCUGGAACACCAGCAGCUUUGGAUGCCCCUAUUAUUAUUUUUUGGUACUUUCGCAUGGACCUUGGUAACUCAUCAAUGAUAGGGGUAUUAGGGUUCAUCUGUAUAAAAUAAAAUACAUUGGUUUUAAGUAGAGGAUCCAAGCAUGUUAUCUCUUAAAAUCAGUACCAUCACCUGUCCCUGAUCGGACUGUGGUUCAAACGAACCCGCCUUGAUUGAAUUGUAUAUAUAUAUACAAUUUUGAAGCUGACUAGUUUUACCAAAUGUACCACUCUUUGUUGAA